AUUACUGAAAGCCCAGGGACAUGGACUGGUUUUAGAGCCAAUGGGAAUGUUGAUCCAGAAGAAGACAGUCUACAGGGAGAAGUAAAAAUGAAGUAAAGAGAUCAGUAGUCUCAGAUCUGCCUUUCUUUCCACCACUCAGUUUCUUCCUACAGCUCAGGAUGCUGGUUGAGGCUCCACAGCACCCUCUUGAAGACCUACAGCACCUUCUCAAGGAUCCACGGCCCCCUCUGGAGGCUCUGUUGCACCCUUUUGGGGAUCUAUAGCACCGUCUUGCCACUUUUCCUGGCUCCCCAGGGCUUCCUCCCAGUGCCUAUUCUCUGCUCUCUUUGCUGGCUUCCAACUGCCAUUAAUUCUAAUACAUGCCCUUCCCUAACAUGUUUACCUGGGGAAGAAUCUAAGUAAUUAAUUCUCACUAGGUAUUACUGAUUAAUUUAUUAGAAUCCUAAAAAGUUGUGCAUUUUAACAGGAAUUCCCUUCACCCAAAGGGUUGUUAGAGGUGGGACGGACCUUAAAAGUAAAAGCGAUUGAAGCCAAGUCUCUCCUCCUCCCUCCACACUUCAUUUGUAAGCUAC
rnacentral:lncRNA from 1 species